GUUUCUGUAGUGUAGUGGUUAUCACGUUUGCCUAACACGCAAAAGGUCCCUGGUUCGAGAACCGGGCGAGACA
rnacentral:tRNA from 1 species